rnacentral:lncRNA from 10 species
CUUCGAUCACGAAGAAAGGACUUCAAGGAAGCUAGACACCUUUUCUUCUAGGAGAGAAGGAGAGUAAAAAUGGAAUGGGUCACUAAGAAAAUAAAAACCUACUACCAGCUCUUCCAAAAUUACAACUUUGUGUUCAUGUAUUUGUUUGUCUUAGUGGCAAGAACAGCCCUCUCCAACCACUCAUGCCUGAAAAGUUUGGAUUGCCUUACACUCCUUUCAAGCUUCCUCCCAUCCAUUCAACUUCUGGCUGUGAAUGCUUUCCUAUCCAACACCCACUCCUGGAUGGCAGUGUUUUAAUAAUAAUAAUACCAUUUACUAAACCCCUUUCAUGUGCCAGGCACUGUAGUUAAGUCUCAGAGCAGCACUGUUGGAGAGGAGCAUUGUCGUACCUUUUUGUGGGAGGACACUGAGGCUUUCACAGGGUAAGUACCUUGUUGGAGUUCACAUGAUAAUAAAUGGAGAACCAGAAACUGACCUCAGGUCUGUCCGACUGCAAAACCAUCCUCCUACCACCGUACCACACUCUCAAAGGCAUGUAUGUCUCUUAUUUUACAGAAUGAAGAAGAUACUUAACAAUAGUUUUGAUGGACUAGAAAAUCAACAGAGAUAAUAUCCAUAUUCGUAUUGGUAGCCCCAUUGUAUUUAGAUAGUGUGAGCCAGCAGUGUUCACUUCCACCCAAUUCAGGGACUUCCUCUAGCAAGGUAUUGCAGUUUGGAAGUGGGAACAGAAGAGACUGUGCAAUCUUCACAGGAGAACAUUGUCAUGACAAAGAGGACAAACAAGUUCAAGGCAAAAAACUAAACCAUAACCUUGGGAUUCAAGGAAAAAGUCAUCAAGCACAGAGGGGGAAUAAAUGAAAGAAUAUAUCUCAGAGUUUUGGGAAGCCAUAAGGAUACUUAACAUGCCCUUUCAUCUGGCUUCUGGCUGGUGAGAAAUGUUCUUCCUGGAUGCCUUUAGACAUGGAAGAAUAGAAAUAACCACUUAAAGCUCCCGCCAUUUCUGUUCUUUGGCAACCCUGAAAAAGCUGAAAGAGGCUGAUCAUCGCUAAUGUAUUGAACAUCUUUUGAAGCCCCAAUGACUGCCACCAACAAAGAACAGACACAUGUGCUAUCUGGGUGAGCACUUCCUCCUGACUCCUUAACAAAACCCUCCCUGAAAGGUUGAUAAGCAAACAGGCUUCACAACAGAAGGGCAGCUCAUUCCCCAGAGGGACUGACGGAAGCCAUAUUCCCAACACAGGAAAAGAAAGCAGGACAUGGGUGAUUCUGAGAAAGGUGCAGCCUUCCAGGGCAGACAGGAAGCACUGACAUAUGGCAACUGAAUCAAAGGGGAUCAUGAAGUCUCUGUUCAAUCGUUUGAGUCACGAAGUCUCCAAUCCUUCAGCAACAUGGUACUUUGAGCAUGACUUCAGCAAAACCAAGGUUAUAGGUGAUGGUUAUGAUGAUGAAUAAAAGAGCAGUGCAGAGUGAAAAUGAAGAAUAAAUUUGACUUUGAUUUUAGUUCAGGGGUGUAGAUGGAUAUUUUGCCCAGGAUUUGCAACUUGGAUUUUGGGAGAUUGCUUUCCAUGAGGAUUUUGAAUCCUUAUAGAUAAUAUAUUAAUUUAGAGUAGAAUAGAGAUGAAUUCAAAUGAAGAGUGAGAGAAGUUGUAUUUCGAGGAAUAAGAAAGCAGGUAUAAAAACAUUCAGUGAACUUUUAAAUCAUGCUAUAGACAAUCAUCAUAAUGAUGCUACUUAGGAAAGUCAGAGUCACGAAGCUCUGGAUAUAGUUUUUCUGUACUCUGUUGCAAAGGGAAUUCUUUGGUAGAGAAAAUAGAUGGAAGCCUGUCAGUCGCAGAGAAGAAAGUGGAAUGCAGGAGAGUGGGUUCCUAGAGGGAUGUUGCUUUCAAUCUACUUCCCUGCUGCAGUUUCUAGCCAGCACAUGGUAACCACCUCUCUCUUCUGCCACCUUCUGAAGUUACUCAGAUAAAUCUCUGUUCCUUUGACCCAAAAGAAGUGCCCCCCACCAGCCACCUCUGUCCCAUUACAUGGCCCAUUAUGCUUACCUUAUCUCAAAGAUACACUCGAGUUAUUGGAAAUUUCCCAUAAAGAUUCCCACACUCCUGAAAGCGGAAAGAACACAGCAGGAAAAGACGAACUAGGAUGUGUGUUAGUGUAUGUAAUUAUAUUGAGGUUAGAAAUGGAAAACACACCUGAUGCUCUGCGUUAUUAUUUUAAAAACAGCAAUAAGAACAAACUGGAAGCUCAGAAUGAUGCCCUGGAGAGAAUUAUUCUUUUUCUGACAUUUAUUUAGAUUCCCCUUUGAGAAAUAGCUUUAUUUUCAGUGAUUUCUUGGGUGAGUAAAAUAACAUUUCACUCAAGAGUUAAAAGGGGUCAGUUUGGGUCUUGUCAGGGGUGCUUUGGAACUUUCUUGCUGACCUGGAAUUAGUGCACGUGCAUCUGAGUGCUACUCCAGCCACCCAGCACACCAUAAAAUAUGUUUUCCGCUACAGUGAUAUUGCUGGCAGUGCAUAAAACAAAUGGACUGGGUCAGAAAUAGUCAGACUCCACCUUUAAAUGGAUUCUUCUGGAUGUAUGUUACUUUGGAGAGCACUUUUGAAACAUUCUUCUAUUAAGGUUUUCAUUAUGAUUUUAACUCCUGUCUACAGAAGCUAUUCAUUAAUUCAAUUAGUCCUUAUUGCCAACGUAGAGGGUGAGUUCUAUAUUGUAAGCCCCAAUGCACAGAUGCAGAAACCGAGGUUCAGAAGCUUUGACAUCUUGCCCCAGGUCUCUUAGAUGUUAGUAGCUAAUCUGGGAUGCAAACCAGAUGCCUGAAUCAAGUCUUUGUUCUCUUCAUUCUGCUGCACUGGUUCGUCUGACUUGAAAUUGCAUCAGUUAGGGUUUGGGUUCAGCUGCAUACAAAAAAAUCCGAGUGGCUGCCAGUUAGACUAAACAGAGAUUUAUUUUUCUUCCAUAUAACAAUAAAUUCAGACAUAAACAGUCUGAAGCUGGUGGAAAGAAAAUGCUUUCUGGUUUCCCAGUGUGAUUAGGCACAUGAAGGCAGUUGCAAUUCCAGCCCUCAUGACUGUAAUCCAGACUGCAGAAAGGAGUUAGAAACAAGAAAAUCACGUGGCACUUACAUCAGGAAAGCACAGUAUUUUUCAGAAAUACACAGAAAUAACCAGAAAUGUGUCUCACAUGAUCAUUGCUGGUCAUCUAAUCUCCCUAGAAAAGUAAUUUUUAUCUUAUAACAUUGCUGCCCCAACAAAAUAGAGAUUCCCUCAGUAAAAAGGAAUGAAGGAAUGGAUUUUCUGUUAGUACCCAGAGAAGUAUCUGUCUCCAAAAAUAUCUAUCUUUCCACUUCAAAAAUAAUCAAAUGUUUUCUUAGGGCAUUUUUGUCCCAAAGCCUAUUCCCACCCCUUGUUUUAUGUUCCUCAAUUUAGAGCAUGAACACUUGCUGGCUGACCCAUGGUCCCUUUGGCUGAAUGUCAGCCAGCUGUAAAAGGACUAUGUAUAUGAAGACCACACCAGCUAGAAGCUUAACUCAAGGUUUCAUUGUUUUAAAGGACUUAAUAUUCUUCUAGUUUAUGCAGAAUCUCACUGGGUAAAGUUGCAGAAAAAAAUUCUAGAAUAGAAGAGAACAGUUUGGAAUAUGUAAUUCAACUAUUUCUAAGUAAUAGAGAAAGGCAACAAAAAUGUCAAUAUUACAGGCAUCAAAUACUUUAGCUAAUCAGGUAAUGUUAUUGAGUUGGAAGCUGACCCUAUCACCAUAGGUAUCUGUUUUCCUAAGUUACUCAUCUUAACCGCUGAUUCACACUGUUCACCCUCCCACUCGGCAGUGGAAGUUAAAUGGCUUGUGAUUCACAAUCUCAGCCUUAGAGAAGAGAUUUGUAAUAACAGAUGUUUAUAAUGUGCCUCUAGUUUCCCUUGGCCUUCUCUUCCUCCUCACUAAAUCCCUCAUUCUAGACCAUGGAAUUUUACAAGGGACUUGAUGUCCUUGGGUCUUGCUGAGACAGAAGAUAUUCACAAAGGCUUGGACGAAAAGCUCCUCAGCCAUCAAAUUGGCUAAUUCAUUCCAGAUUAUGCUGAAUGUAAGCUCUCCAGACGAAGAAACCAUCAUCUAACACAGGGGUGAGGUGGGGCACGGUGACGGGAGGAUCAGAUGAAGAGGAGUCAGCAGUAAUAACGGAAAAGGAAGGCCCAGGGUGAUUGGAGAAAAGCCAGGACAGUGUGAGGACUCUAAGCCCAGCAUUAGAACUUCAAGAAGAAUGGAGAGGUCAACAAUGUCAAAUUCUCCAACAUCUGAGGAAGAGAGCAAGAUGAAAGCAUUGGGUUUAGAAAUGUGAAUGUAAUUGAUGAGCUUGCUAAGGUAGUUUCAGAGGGACGAUAGUGAAAAAACAAAAAGAUAAAGCCUGUGCUCGGUAAAAAUUUAGAGAAAAGGAAAAUUUAAAGUAGGGACUUCGGUGGCUGACUGGUCAUUUUUUGAAAGGCCUCUCGGUGAGGGGAAGGAGAAAGAGAUAAUUGGAGCCAGAGGGACGUGCAAGGUUGGUGGCAUUUGUUAUUAAGACCACAUCAGCUAGAGGCUUAAACCCAAGGUUUCAUUGUUGGGUUUCAUAGUAUGGUAAAAUCUUGGGUGUGGUUUUAGUCUAUGGGAAAGUAGUCAAUUAAGACUAGGAAUAGAAAUGUGUUUACAAGCAAAUGGAACAGGAGCUGAAGGAGAUGACACCCUGAAUUAAAAUUUAAUUAAUAUCACAGAGAAUGCUUUUCUAUCAUGGUUUCAUUAAACACAGAGCCUUCACUUCUAAAUAUUCAAAUACACAUAUAUACAUACACAUACACACACACCUUUAUACAAACUUUAAGUGUGUGGAGUGUUAGAAACCUCACUGUGUAAAAACUGAAACUAUAACAUGGGAAAUGAAGAAAGGUGAUUAUUUAGAUGAGAACACAUAUAAUAAUAAAAGUAACACAUUUUACGGUUUCUUUAAAUGUUUAUUCAUCCCUCUACACAAUUAAAUAGCAUGUGUUUUAGACAUUUUUAUUAUUUUCCAUUUUCCAGCUGUACAUACCAUGAGAGAUAUAGGUUCUAUAACUAUUUGGAGCUAUACAAAUAGAAAGAGGAAUAAGAAAAUGUUAUGUCCUCUCUCCUCUUUAAAAAAAAAAUUCUGUU